rnacentral:rRNA from 1 species
UACAGAGGGUGCGAGCGUUAAUCGGAGUGACUGGGCGUAAAGGGCGCGUAGGCGGUUUAUCAAGUGAGAUGUGAAAGCCCCGGGCUUAACCUGGGAAUGGCAUUUUAGACUGAUGAACUGGAGUGCAGUAGAGGGUAGCGGAAUUUCCGGUGUAGCGGUGAAAUGCGUAGAGAUCGGAAGGAACACCAGUGGCGAAGGCGGCUACCUGGACUGAGACUGACGCUGAGGCGCGAGAGCAUGGGUAGCAAACAGG